rnacentral:rRNA from 1 species
CCUACGGGCGGCAGCAGUAGGGAAUAUUGCUCAAUGGGGGAAACCCUGAAGCAGCAACGCCGCGUGGAGGAUGAAGGUUUUCGGAUUGUAAACUCCUUUUGUUAGAGAAGAGAAUGACGGUAGCUAACGAAUAAGCACCGGCUAACUCCGUGCCAGCAGCCGCGGUAAUACGGAGGGGGCAAGCGUUAAGCGGAGUCACUGGGCGUAAAGAGGGCGUAGGGGGGAUAGCAAGUCAGAUGUGAAAUCCUAUGGCUUAACCCUAGAACUGCCUUUGAAACUGUUAUUCUAGAGUAUGGGAGCGGUAGGUGGAAUUCUUGGUGUAGCGGUCCAAUCCGUAGAUAUCACG